rnacentral:rRNA from 1 species
AGAGUUUGAUCCUGGCUCAGAACGAACGCUGGCGGCAGGCUUAACACAUGCAAGUCGAGCGCCCCGCAAGGGGAGCGGCAGACGGGUGAGUAACGCGUGGGAACGUACCUUUUGCUACGGAACAACAGUUGGAAACGACUGCUAAUACCGUAUGUGCCCGAAAGGGGAAAGAUUUAUCGGCAAAGGAUCGGCCCGCGUUGGAUUAGCUAGUUGGUGAGGUAAAGGCUCACCAAGGCGACGAUCCAUAGCUGGUCUGAGAGGAUGAUCAGCCACACUGGGACUGAGACACGGCCCAGACUCCUACGGGAGGCAGCA